GAUGAACGCUAGCGGCAGGCUUAAUACAUGCAAGUCGUGGGGCAGCAGGGUUGUAGCAAUACAAUCGCUGGCGACCGGCAAACGGGUGCGUAAUACGUACGCAACCUUCCCGUUACUGUGGCAUAGCCCAGGGAAACUUGGAUUAAUACCACAUAUUAUAUUGAGGGGGCAUCCCUUUGAUAUCAAAGCUUCGGCGGUAACGGAUGGGCGUGCGGUUGAUUAGGUAGUUGGCGGGGUAACGGCCCACCAAGCCUACGAUCAAUAGCUGAUGUGAGAGCAUGAUCAGCCACACGGGCACUGAGACACGGGCCCGACUCCUACGGGAGGCAGCAGUAAGGAAUAUUGGGCAAUGGACGAAAGUUUGACCCAGCCAUGCCGCGUGAAGGAUUAAGGUCCUCUGGAUUGUAAACUUCUUUUCUCUGGGGCGAAAACCAGCUAUUCUUAGCUAUUUGACAGUACCAGAGGAAUAAGCACCGGCUAACUCCGUGCCAGCCGCCGCGGUAAUAC
rnacentral:rRNA from 1 species